rnacentral:rRNA from 1 species
AACGAACGCUGGCGGCAGGCUUAACACAUGCAAGUCGAACGCCCCGCAAGGGGAGUGGCAGACGGGUGAGUAACGCGUGGGAAUCUACCGUACCCUACGGAAUAACGCAUGGAAACGUGUGCUAAUACCGUAUACGCCCUACGGGGGAAAGAUUUAUCGGGGUAUGAUGAGCCCGCGUUGGAUUAGCUAGUUGGUGGGGUAAAGGCCUACCAAGGCGACGAUCCAUAGCUGGUCUGAGAGGAUGAUCAGCCACAUUGGGACUGGGACACGGCCCAAACUCCUUCGGGGGGGAGCAGUGGGGAAUAUUGGACAAUGGGCGCAAGCCUGAUCCAGCCAUGCCGCGUGAGUGAUGAAGGCCCUAGGGUUGUAAAGCUCUUUCACCGGAGAAGAUAAUGACGGUAUCCGGAGAAGAAGCCCCGGCUAACUUCGUGCCAGCCGCCGCGGUAAUAC